CGUGGUUCCGGUCUUUUUGGGUACCAAAAGGAUAGACGCCACCCAUUCACUGUCCGUGAUGGGGGGAAUGACUUUUGCAUCAUGGGGGACAGUUUGAAAAGCUUGCAAAGCCAAUGCUGAUUGGUACACGCUUUGGGGAACACAUAUAUGCCUCUCCAUCUCUUUUAUCUCGGUAAAAUCAUAGCCAUAGCUCAAAGCUACGCUUAAUCUACAAACUUGUUGCACACACUUAUCAACUUGGUCAGAACAUGUGAUAGAAUAAGCAUUGCUAUAAGGAUAUUUCAUUGCAUCAUGAAAAUUAAAUUCAAUCUUUUCA
rnacentral:lncRNA from 1 species